rnacentral:rRNA from 1 species
GGGUGCGAUCAUACCAGCACCAAUGCACCGGAUCCCAUCAGAACUCCGAAGUUAAGCGUGCUUGGGCGAGAGUAGUACUAGGAUGGGUGACCUCCUGGGAAGUCCUCGUGUUGCACCCC